rnacentral:misc_RNA from 1 species
UCAUACCCGCACAGGCGGAGGUUCAAGUUUCUCAUGCCUCUGUAUAAAUGACCAUUAAACAGGGAAGCAGCAGACCUUUAUCAUUCAGCACCAACACCUGUAAAAAAAUGCGGAAAACCAUAAACAAACCACCAAAAAUCAUGUACACACCCUACUCAGAAGUGGAGAGGGAUGUGGAGGAAGAGAAGUCGUCUCCCACCCAUCCAGAGAGGCUGGAAAUAGCACUUGAAAGGAAACAAA